rnacentral:rRNA from 1 species
GAUGAACGCCGGCGGCGUGCCUAACACAUGCAAGUCGAACGAAGCACCUUACCUGAUUCUUCGGAUGAAAGUUUGGUGACUGAGUGGCGGACGGGUGAGUAACGCGUGGGUAACCUGCCCUGUACAGGGGGAUAACAGCUGGAAACGGCUGCUAAUACCGCAUAAGCGCACGAGGAGACAUCUCCUUGUGUGAAAAACUCCGGUGGUACAGGAUGGGCCCGCGUCUGAUUAGCUGGUUGGCAGGGUAACGGCCUACCAAGGCAACGAUCAGUAGCCGGUCUGAGAGGAUGAACGGCCACAUUGGAACUGAGACACGGUCCAAACUCCUACGGGAGGCAGCAGUGGGGAAUAUUGCACAAUGGGGGAAACCCUGAUGCAGCAACGCCGCGUGAGUGAAGGAGUAUUUCGGUAUGUAAAGCUCUAUCAGCAGGGAAGAUAAUGACGGUACCUGACUAAGAAGCUCCGGCUAAAUACGUG